UAGCAAUUACGAGGUAUACGUUGACAC
rnacentral:piRNA from 1 species